CGACUCUGGUUUCUCUUCAUUACGCACAAGCCUUUCGCUUUUACUAAAGACUUCCGCGGAGAGGAACACUUACGAGUUCAACGUAUUUUUGAAGGGCUUUGCUUCUGGCAGAGCC
rnacentral:snRNA from 1 species